UUUGAUUACUUUAUUGUCCGAGAAAUCUUAAAAUACUUUUCAGAAGAUCGCGCUUUUAUUCAUCUUAAAGUUAAAUUAUAUAUAUGUUGGUUACCUUCGAAAACGGUGAGACGUUUGAUGAUUAUUUUAUUUGUAUCUCCAACAAUUACACAUUACCAAUUUUUAAACACACUAAACAUCAUUAAUUAUCCAUUAUUCGUCGUCGUAUUAAACCAAUAAUCGUUAUUAAAAUGAUGAUACUGUGACAUUUGAAUGAUGACAAAACAAUAAUAUUUGUUAAAUUAUCAUUUGUUACGGAGGAAUAUUAUAUUUUACAGAUUGUAUUCCUGGAAAGCACGGUACUAACUGUGAUCAGAACUGUCCUGCAAAUUGUAAGGACAUGAUGUGUGAUCGGGACACAGGAUUGUGUAAAGGUGAGUUAGUGGUUACUGCUUUGAGGAACAAUGUGAUUGAUUGAUUGUCUUCCACAGAAGUAUGGCAACAGAUGUGAACAGAAUUGUCCUACGAGUUGCCUGGAUAGUCUAUGUGAGAAAGACAGUGGGAACUGUUAUGAAUGCGUUGCUGGAAA